GGGUAGAUCAUGAUACCUUAAUUCGGCUGAAGAGAGGUGAUGACAUAAAAAUCAUGCUCAAUAGGCUUACUCUGAUGUCC
rnacentral:snoRNA from 1 species